rnacentral:rRNA from 1 species
AGUGAACGCUGGCGGCGUGCCUAAUACAUGCAAGUCGAACGGAGAUUAAGUAGCUUGCUAUUUAAUCUUAGUGGCGCACGGGUGAGUAAUAUAUAGCUAACUUGCCCAUUACUAAGGGACAACAGUUGGAAACGACUGCUAAUACCUUAUACUCCGUAUCUAUAUAAGUAGAUACGGGAAAGUUUUUCGGUAAUGGAUAGGGCUAUAUCGUAUCAGCUAGUUGGUAAGGUAAUGGCGUACCAAGGCUAUGACGCGUAACUGGUCUGAGAGGAUGAUCAGUCGCCCCUGAACGGAGGCACCGGUCAGGCUCCUUCGGGAAGGGGCGGAAGGGUAUUUUAGCCAUAUGGGGAAACCCUGAAGCAGCUUCGCCGCGUGGAGGAUGACUCUUUUCGGAGCGUAAACUCCUUUUCUUGGGAAAGAAUUAUGACGGUACCCAAAGAAUAAGCACCGGCUAACUCCGUG